rnacentral:rRNA from 1 species
CACGGGGGGAGCAAGCGUUGUUCGGAAUCACUGGGCGUAAAGGGCGUGUAGGCGGUCAUGUAAGUGGGAUGUGAAAGCCCUCGGCUCACCCGAGGAUCUGCAUCUCAAACUGCAUGGCUUGAGUAUGGGAGAGGAUGAGGGAAUUCCUGGUGUAGCGGUGAAAUGCGUAGAUAUCAGGAGGAACACCGGUGGCGAAGGCGCUCAUCUGGCCCAAUACUGACGCUGAGGCGCGAAAGCUAGGGGAGCAAACGGG